rnacentral:rRNA from 1 species
AACGAACGCUGGCGGCAUGCCUAACACAUGCAAGUCGAACGAGAUCUUCGGGUCUAGUGGCGCACGGGUGCGUAACGCGUGGGAAUCUGCCCUUUGGUUCGGAAUAACAGUUGGAAACGACUGCUAAUACCGGAUGAUGACGAAAGUCCAAAGAUUUAUCGCCAGAGGAUGAGCCCGCGUAGGAUUAGCUAGUUGGUGUGGGAAAGGCGCACCAAGGCGACGAUCCUUAGCUGGUCUGAGAGGAUGAUCAGCCACACUGGGACUGAGACACGGCCCAGACUCCUACGGGAGGCAGCAGUGGGGAAUAUUGGACAAUGGGCGAAAGCCUGAUCCAGCAAUGCCGCGUGAGUGAUGAAGGCCUUAGGGUUGUAAAGCUCUUUUACCCGGGAUGAUAAUGACAGUACCUGGAGAAAAAGCCCCGGCUAACUUCGUGCCAGCCGCCGCUGUAA